AACUUUCAACAACGGAUCUCUUGGCUCUCGCAUCGAUGAAGAACGCAGCGAAAUGCGAUAAGUAAUGUGAAUUGCAGAAUUCAGUGAAUCAUCGAAUCUUUGAACGCACCUUGCGCCCUUUGGUAUUCCGAUGGGCAUGCCUGUUUGAGUGUC
rnacentral:rRNA from 1 species